rnacentral:sRNA from 1 species
AACCCCUGCAUCAACAGUGAUCACAACUAUUGCAGCACGCACGCUAUUUGUUCUUACGUAGGCGACGCUGUGACCUGUCAAUGUGAGAAUGGCUUUGAUGACCCUACACCUAACCUAUAUAGACUUCCCGGUGAACAUUGUGUGGAAAAAUGUCAUUGUCAAAAUGGUGGGCUAUGUGUAGAUGACGACAUCUUAUCUGGUACUAAACAAUGCAGCUGCUUAAAAUGGUAUUUUGGAACACAGUGUGAAAUUGACGGAAAAG